GUGCCCUCUUCAGCAGCACAUAUACUAAAAUUGGAAUGAUACAGAGGUUAGCAUGACCCCUGUGCAAGGAUGACACACAAAUUCAUGAAGCAUUUCAUAUAAAG